rnacentral:rRNA from 1 species
GUAGGUGGCAAGCGUUGUCCGGAAUUAUUGGGCGUAAAGCGCGCGCAGGCGGUUCUUUAAGUCUGAUGUGAAAGCCCACGGCUCAACCGUGGAGGGUCAUUGGAAACUGGAGAACUUGAGUACAGAAGAGGAAAGCGGAAUUCCACGUGUAGCGGUGAAAUGCGUAGAGAUGUGGAGGAACACCAGUGGCGAAGGCGGCUUUCUGGUCUGUAACUGACGCUGAGGCGCGAAAGCGUGGGGAGCAAACAGGAUUAGAUACCCUGGUAGUCCACGCCGUAAACGAUGAGUGCUAAGUGUUAGGGGGGUUUCCGCCCCCCUUAGUGCUGCAGCUAACGCGUUAAGCACUCCGCCUGGGGAUACGGCCGCAAGGCUG